GAUGAAGAACGCAGCGAAAUGCGAUAAGUAAUGUGAAUUGCAGAAUUCAGUGAAUCAUCGAAUCUUUGAACGCACAUUGCGCCCCCUGGUAUUCCGGGGGGCAUGCCUGUUCGAGCGUCAUUUCACCACUCAAGCCUCGCUUGGUAUUGGGCAACGCGGUCCGCCGCGUGCCUCAAAUCGACCGGCUGGGUCUUCUGUCCCCUAAGCGUUGUGGAAACUAUUCGCUAAAGGGUGUUCGGGAGGCUACGCCGUAAAACAACCCCAUUUCUAAGGUUGACCUCGGAUCAGGUAGGGUUACCCGCUGAACUUAAGCAUAUCAAUAAGCGGAGGA
rnacentral:misc_RNA from 1 species